rnacentral:rRNA from 1 species
UACGUAGGGACCAAGCGUUGUUCGGAUUUACUGGGCGUAAAGGGCGCGUAGGCGGCGCGGUAAGUCACUUGUGAAAUCUCUGAGCUUAACUCAGAACGGCCAAGUGAUACUGCAGUGCUAGAGUGUGGAAGGGGCAAUCGGAAUUCUUGGUGUAGCGGUGAAAUGCGUAGAUAUCAAGAGGAACACCUGAGGUGAAGACGGGUCUCUGGGCCGAUACUGACGCUGAGGAGCGAAAGCGUGGGGAGCGAACAGG